UACGGUGGGAGCAAGCGUUGUUCGGAUUUACUGGGCGUAAAGGGCGCGUAGGCGGCCACCGCAAGUCGACUGUGAAAUCUCCGGGCUUAACCCGGAAAGGUCAGCCGAUACUGCGGGGCUAGAGUGCAGAAGGGGCAACUGGAAUUCUCGGUGUAGCGGUGAAAUGCGUAGAUAUCGAGAGGAACACCUGCGGCGAAGGCGGGUUGCUGGGCUGACACUGACGCUGAUGUGCGAAAGCUAGGGGAGCGAACGGG
rnacentral:rRNA from 1 species